rnacentral:lncRNA from 1 species
CAAAACGUCCUUUAUUAAUGAUAAUCAUUAAAACAUGAUGAGGCCCUACAAUGAACCACUACGCCUUGGGCAGAACGUAGGGUUUUCAUGCAAAAUGAAAAAACAACAGAAAAUUACUCUGUCUGAAGAGUAACUUGGACCACUUCUUCAGCCGUCCAGUUGUUGAUAGACUCCCCUGGUGCACACGGGCGAACCCAGUUGUCUAAAUCGCAGUCACUGUCAUAGUCUUCACUACCGGUUGCAAAGAUGUCGCCAUGAUUCAUCAGCCCCGCGCUGGUAAAGGUACUCGGACCCGCUUGACCAUUCUGCUCUGCUUGGAGAGGCUCAUAACCAAUGCCAAAUUUGUCUUCUUUGACAGGCAAGUCCACCAUCUUUCCCCAACCUUCAGCUUUGCCGGAGUUAACAACUUCUUUGGCCUGCUUGUACGAAGCAAUCGAAGCACCUGGCUUCCUCUGAUCAGCGUACGCCACUUUCUCAAGAGCCACAGUCUCAAACGCCUGGCAUAAGGUUUCGUGGAUCUCGCCAUCCACCUCGACAUAUUUGAACGAGGAUAGGUGACUUACCAGAAUCUCUUCUUCA